CUAACAAGGAUUCCCCUAGUAGCGGCGAGCGAAGCGGGAAGAGCUCAAAUUUGUAAUCUGGCGCUUUCAGCGUCCGAGUUGUAAUCUCUAGAAAUGUUUUCCGCGUUGCACCGCACACAAGUCUGUUGGAAUACAGCGGCACAGUGGUGAGACCCCCGUUCAUGGUGCGGAUGCGCAAUGCUUUGUGAUACAUUUUCGAAGAGUCGAGUUGUUUGGGAAUGCAGCUCAAAUUGGGUGGUAAAUUCCAUCUAAAGCUAAAUAUUGGCGAGAGACCGAUAGCGAACAAGUACCGUGAGGGAAAGAUGAAAAGCACUUUGGAAAGAGAGUUAACAGUACGUGAAAUUGUUGGAAGGGAAACGCUUGAAGUCAGACUUGCUGUUCGGAGUUCAGCCGCAAGGUGUACUCUCCGAGUUGCAGGCCAGCAUCAGUUUUUCGGGGUGGAAAAUCACGGUUUGAAGGUAGCAGUUUCGGCUGUGUUAUAGCUUUCCGUUGGAUACAUCCUGGGGGACUGAGGAACGCAGUGUGCUUUUAGCAGGGGUUUCGACUCUUCACACUUAGGAUGCAGGAGGAAUG
rnacentral:rRNA from 1 species